rnacentral:rRNA from 1 species
AUUGAACGCUGGCGGCAUGCUUUACACAUGCAAGUCGAACGGCAGCGCGGGCUUCGGCCUGGCUGCGAGUGGCGAACGGGUGAGUAAUACAUCGGAACGUGCCCAGUAGUGGGGGAUAGCUCGUCGAAAGCCGGAUUAAUACCGCAUACGACCUGAGGGUGCAAGCGGGGGAUCUUCGGACCUCGCGCUAUUGGAGCGGCCGAUGGCAGAUUAGCUAGUUGGUGGGGUAAAGGCCUACCAAGGCGACGAUCUGUAGCUGGUCUGAGAGGACGACCAGCCACACUGGGACGGAGACACGGCCAAGACUCCUAAGGGAGGCAGCAGUGGGGAAUGUUGGACAAUGGGCGAAAGCAUGAUCCAGAAAUGCCGCGUGUGUGAUGAAGGCCUUCGGGUUGUAAAGCACUUUUGGCGGGAACGAAAAGGACUGUGCCAAUACCACGGUUCGAUGACGGUACCCGCAGAAUAAGCACCGGCUAACUACGUG